rnacentral:rRNA from 1 species
CAGCAGCCGCGGUAAUACGUAGGGUGCGAGCGUUAAUCGGAAUUACUGGGCGUAAAGCGUGCGCAGGCGGUUUUGUAAGACAGGCGUGAAAUCCCCGGGCUCAACCUGGGAAUGGCGCUUGUGACUGCAAAGCUAGAGUGCGGCAGAGGGGGAUGGAAUUCCGCGUGUAGCAGUGAAAUGCGUAGAUAUGCGGAGGAACACCGAUGGCGAAGGCAAUCCCCUGGGCCUGCACUGACGCUCAUGCACGAAAGCGUGGGGAGCAAACAGGAUUAGAUACCCGGGUAGUCCCUGUCUCUUAUAC